UAAAGAUUUUAAGGGCGUACGGUGGAUGCCUUGGCGAUAUCAGCCGAAGAAGGACGCGGUAAGCUGCGAUAAGCUACGGAGAGGUGCAAGCAACCUGUGACCCGUAGAUUUCCGAAUGGGGGAACCCGGCAGUGGUUAUGCACUGUCACCCAUAGCUUAGACUAUGAGGAGGGCACCUGGGGAACUGAAACAUCUAAUUACCCAGAGGAACAGUAAUCAAACGAGAUUUUCUUAGUAGCGGCGAGCGAACGGGAAAGAGGCCAAACCGGAGCGGGCAACCGCACCGGGGUUGAGGACAGUCAUCAAGUGUAAAUGAGGUAGAAGAAUCGAGCUGGAAAGCUCAGCCGCAGAAGGUGAAAGCCCUGUAAUCGAAACCUUGCAUACAUGGGACUGUAUCCAGAGUACCACGAGACACGUGAAACCUUGUGGGAAGCAGGGGGGACCACCCUCCAAGCCAAAAUACUGAUAUCGACCGAUAGCGCAUAGUACCGUGAGGGAAAGGUGAAAAGAACCCCUGGCGGGGAGUGAAAGAGAACCUGAAACCGUAUGUCUACAAACAGUCGAAGUCUGUAUAUAUAUCAGGACGACGGCGUGCCUAUUGAAGAAUGAACCGACGAGUUACUGUUGCUAGCGAGGUUAAGUGGAAAACAUGGAGCCGCAGCGAAAGCGAGUCUGAACAGGGCGUUCAGUUAGUAAUAGUAGACCCGAAACCGUAGUGAUCUAUCCAUGGCCAGGUUGAAGCACAGGUAAAAUUGUGUGGAGGACCGAACUCGUGAGCGUUGAAAAGCUUUGGGAUGAGUUGUGGAUAGGGGUGAAAUGCCAAUCGAACACGGAGAUAGCUGGUUCUCCCCGAAAUAGCUUUAGGGCUAGCCUCGAGGUAGAGAGUAUAGGCGGUAGAGCACUGAUCGGGCUAGGGGCCAUACCGGUUACCGAACCUAGUCAAACUACGAAUGGCUAUACUUAUACUCGGGAGUCAGACAGUGAAUGAUAAGGUCCAUUGUCAAGAGGGAAACAGCCCAGAACACCGACUAAGGUCCCCAAUGUUACACUAAGUGGCGAAGGAUGUGGAAUUUCCAAAACAACCAGGAUGUUGGCUUAGAAGCAGCCACCAUUUAAAGAGUGCGUAAUAGCUCACUGGUCGAGAGACUCUGCGCCGAAAAUGUCCGGGGCUAAAGUGUAAAACCGAAGUCGUGUCAUAUGCAGCAAUGUAUAUGGGUAGGGGAGCGUUCUCAUCGGGCUGAAGCAGUACCGUAAGGAGUUGUGGACUGAUGAGAAGUGAGAAUGUCGGUAUGAGUAGCGAAAAGAAUGGUGAGAAUCCAUUCCACCGAAAGCCUAAGGGUUCCUGAGCAACGAUCGUCGUCUCAGGGUAAGUCGGGACCUAAGCCGAGGCGGAAAAGCGUAGGCGAUGGACAACAGGUUGAAAUUCCUGUACCGGUGUGAAUCGUUUGAUCGAUGGAGUGACACAGUAAGGUAGGUCAGCACGCGAUUGGAAGAGCGUGUUUAAGCAGGUAGGUUGAGCUAUAGGCAAAUCCGUAGCUCUAAAAGCUGAGAUGUGAUGACGAGUGACUAGCAAUAGUCGCGAAGUGAUUGAUCCUACACUGUCGAGAAAAGCUUCUAGGUAGAGACACAUCGCCCGUACCAAAACCGACACAGGUAGGCGGGGAGAGAAUCCUAAGGUGCGCGGGAAAACCCUCGUUAAGGAACUCGGCAAAAUGCCUCCGUAACUUCGGGAAAAGGAGGACUCAUGUAGUGUGAAGAGCAGAAGCGCUUGGAGCAUGAAUGAGUGGCACAAGAGAGGCGCAAGCGACUGUUUACCACAAACACAGGUGCCUGCUAAAGCGAAAGCUGAUGUAUAGGUGCUGACACCUGCCCGGUGCUGGAAGGUUAAGAGGAGGGGUUAGACUUCGGUCGAAGCUCUGAAUUGAAGCCCCAGUAAACGGCGGCCGUAACUAUAACGGUCCUAAGGUAGCGAAAUUCCUUGUCGGGUAAGUUCCGACCCGCACGAAAGGUGUAACGACUUGCGCACUGUCUCAACGAGGGACCCGGUGAAAUUGAAGUACCUGUGAAGAUGCAGGUUACCCGCGACUGGACAGAAAGACCCCAUGGAGCUUUACUGCAACCUAAGAUUGAACUUAGUUAAUGAAUGUACAGGAUAGGUGGGAGACGUAGAACCUAGGACGCCAGUUUUAGGGGAGUCGCUGUUGGGAUACCACCCUUUCAUUAAUUGAUUUCUAACGGGCCGAGUAACGACCGGCCGGACAGUCUUAGGCGGGCAGUUUGACUGGGGCGGUCGCCUCCAAAAGAGUAACGGAGGCGCCCAAAGGUUCCCUCAGAGCGGACGGAAAUCGCUCGAA
rnacentral:rRNA from 1 species